rnacentral:rRNA from 1 species
UACGAACUGUGCGAACGUUAUUCGGAAUCACUGGGCUUACAGGGUGCGUAGGCGGCUUGUUAAGUCGGGUGUGAAAGCCCCCGGCUCAACCGGGGAAUUGCGCCCUAAACUGGCGAGCUGGAGUGAGAUAGGGGUGUGUGGAACUUCCGGUGGAGCGGUGAAAUGUGUUGAUAUCGGAAGGAACGCCGGUGGCGAAAGCGACACACUGGAUCUUGUCUGACGCUGAGGCACGAAAGCCAGGGGAGCGAACGGG